rnacentral:rRNA from 1 species
CAGUAGCCGCGGUAAUACGGAGGGGGCUAGCGUUGUUCGGAAUUACUGGGCGUAAAGCGCACGUAGGCGGCUUUACAAGUCAGAGGUGAAAGCCUGGUGCUCAACACCAGAAUUGCCUUUGAGACUGUAUCGCUUGAACGUCGGAGAGGUGAGUGGAAUUCCGAGUGUAGAGGUGAAAUUCGUAGAUAUUCGGAAGAACACCAGUGGCGAAGGCGGCUCACUGGACGACUGUUGACGCUGAGGUGCGAAAGCGUGGGGAGCAAACAGGAUUAGAUACCCCAGUAGUCCCUGUCUCUUAUAU